UUUCUCCGCCGGCGACCGGCGCACGGGUGAGUAACACGUAUGCAACCUGCCCCUGUCAGGGGGGCAACCCGCCGAAAGGCGGGCUAAACCCGCGUACAUGCCACCGGGGCAUCCCGGAGGCAGGAAAGGCUUCGGCCGGACAGGGAUGGGCAUGCGGCGCAUUAGGCAGUAGGCGGGGUAACGGCCCACCUAACCGACGAUGCGUAGGGGUUCUGAGAGGAAGGCCCCCACACUGGUACUGAGACACGGACCAGACUCCUACGGGAGGCAGCAG
rnacentral:rRNA from 1 species